ensembl:misc_RNA Metazoa_SRP Metazoan signal recognition particle RNA
GCUGGGCAUGGUGGCCCCUGCCUGCAGUCCUAGCUACUUAGGAGGCUGAGGCAGGAGGAUUACUAGAGCCCAGGAGUUCGAGACUGCAGUACACUGUGAUGGCACCUGUGAAUCGCCACUGCUCUCCAGCCUGGGCAACAUAGUGAGACACCGCCUCUU